UACGUAGGUGGCGAGCGUUGUCCGGAUUUACUGGGCGUAAAGAGCGCGCAGGCGGUCGUACAAGUCGCGUGUGAAAGCCCCCGGCUCAACUGGGGAGGGUCAUUCGAUACUGAUCGACUUGAAGGCAGGAGAGGGAAGUGGAAUUCCGGGUGUAGUGGUGAAAUGCGUAGAUAUCCGGAGGAACACCAGUGGCGAAGGCGACUUCCUGGCCUGUUCUUGACGCUGAGGCGCGAAAGCUGGGGGAGCAAACGGG
rnacentral:rRNA from 1 species